rnacentral:rRNA from 1 species
AUUGAACGCUGGCGGCAUGCUUUACACAUGCAAGUCGAACGGCAGCGCGGGCUUCGGCCUGGCGGCGAGUGGCGAACGGGUGAGUAAUAUAUCGGAACGUACCCAAGAGUGGGGGAUAACGUAGCGAAAGUUACGCUAAUACCGCAUACGAUCUAAGGAUGAAAGCAGGGGAUCGCAAGACCUUGUGCUCCUGGAGCGGCCGAUAUCUGAUUAGCUAGUUGGUGGGGUAAAGGCCCACCAAGGCAACGAUCAGUAGCUGGUCUGAGAGGACGACCAGCCACACUGGAACUGAGACACGGUCCAGACUCCUACGGGAGGCAGCAGUGGGGAAUUUUGGACAAUGGGCGCAAGCCUGAUCCAGCAAUGCCGCGUGAGUGAAGAAGGCCUUCGG